AACAAAACUAAAAGAAAUAAACAACAUGGAGUAAAGAAGGCAAAACGCUAAGUACUGCUCGCGGAAGCAACUUUAGGUACUAUACAAGAAAGUACCAGAAUAGACCAGCAUUGACAAUGAUAUUUGACAAUUUGAUAAGCGGCAUUCAGAAAAUUGUUGUGUAUGAGACACCUACUAGAUUCUACAUUGUUGGAUCUAACACGUUAGAAACACGAUUCUCCUAAAG